UACGUAGGGUGCGAGCGUUGUCCGGAAUUAUUGGGCGUAAAGAGCUCGUAGGCGGUUUGUCGCGUCUGCUGUGAAAACCCGAGGCUCAACCUCGGGCCUGCAGUGGGUACGGGCAGACUAGAGUGCGGUAGGGGAGACUGGAAUUCCUGGUGUAGCGGUGGAAUGCGCAGAUAUCAGGAGGAACACCAAUGGCGAAGGCAGAUCUCUGGGCCGUAACUGACGCUGAGGAGCGAAAGCAUGGGGAGCGAACAGG
rnacentral:rRNA from 1 species